UCCGGCGUAGCUCAGUGGUAGAGCAAUUGGCUGUUAACCAAUGGGUCACUGGUUCGAAUCCAGUCGCCGGAGCCA
rnacentral:tRNA from 1 species